UCGUGCCACUGCUGCGUUGGUAGAAGAAUGUAGGCACCCACAGCAGGCCUCUGUGUGUCUGGCAGUGGUGCCUAUACUGCUCAGCAGUGUGGAGGUGGGAAAUGGGCAGAGCUGAGGCAGGACAGAAAGAGCCAAGCCUGGGAUGGGGCAGGAGGGGGAUGAUGGAGGCUCCUGUUCCAGGGCUGGCUGCUGAGACCCAUCAUGGGCAAAAUCCCUUCCCAUUCCUGGCCUCAGUUUCCUCCCUGAUAAAAUGAAGAAGUCAGACCCAAUUGUGAGCCCCUAGAUGGCAAAGAUCCUGGAAGGGUCAGCUGUUUCCUUCUCCAGCUCAUUUUGCAGAUUGAUAAACUGAGGCAAGUGGGGUUCAGUGACUUGUCCAGGGUCACACAGCUAGGAAGUGUCUAAGGCCAGGUUUGAACUUAGGAAGAGUCUUCCCAACUCCAGCUCCCAAGUUCUAGCCAUUGCACCCAACUGCUCUAUUAAGUGCCUACUGUGUGUGAACAGUGGCGAUACAGAAGCAAAAAGGAAACAUUCCCUGCCCUCGGGCAGCCUACAUUCUCCCGGGUGCUGGGGGGGCAUCCAAAAGAAUAGGAAUGGAUGGGCUCCCAAGGACCAUGGAGGCAGCUAUGCCGGGCACAGUCCACGGAGCCCUUAAAACUUCAGCGGGCAGCGGGUUGCCAGGCCAGGCCAAUGAGGUCCCAAAUCCCUCUUGGUCACUCCCUGGAGAAAGCCCCGAUGCUGCCUUCGUCCAGGCUCAUCCAGACCUGCAUGUUUUCCAGUUUCCUCACCCCGAUGGGAUGGAAAAAUUCCCCGAGUCCACCACCACCAGCAUGCUGAGACAGCCUUUCCUCCCAGAAUGUCAGUGUAAGUUGAAGCAACUGCCCUCCUUCUACCAGCUCCGCCAGAAGAACCUUGGGCGUAAGAGGACGACGCAGGCUCAUAUGCACUUCAGUAACACCAAUUUCAAUAGCUGGGCAUGUGACUACGUACCCAGCCCCAGCGACUGCAUAAGCACUUACACAGAGUCGUACGUGGCCAAGCCCACCCCGCCAGCCUCGUGCUUUGGGCACUACCCGAGACAUCACUCUGAACGGUGGAAGACUUAUUCGACUUAAGGACGGACGCACCGCACGGAGACAACUUGAAGGAAAGGAUGCUGUGAAGCCUUGCGGAUUCCCCUUCAAAGCGCCAACCUCGGGAGGUUUUCUUGCCCUUUUAUGUAAGGAAGGGGACAAUAAAAGAGGAUCCUUUGAAUUUAGCA
rnacentral:lncRNA from 1 species